rnacentral:rRNA from 1 species
CACGUAGGGCGCAAGCGUUGUCCGGAAUUAUUGGGCGUAAAGAGCUCGUAGGCGGUCUGUUGCGUCCGCUGUGAAAUCUCGGGGCUUAACCCCGAGCCUGCAGUGGAUACGGGCAGACUAGAGGUAGGUAGGGGAGAAUGGAAUUCCCGGUGUAGCGGUGAAAUGCGCAGAUAUCGGGAGGAACACCGGUGGCGAAGGCGGCUAUCUGGCGGUACAUUGACGCUGAUGCACGAAAGCGCGGGGAGCAAACAGG